GGUGCGCUCCAGGCGGCCGCCGCCCAUCGCUCGUCGAUGGGGGGAGGAAAGUCCGAGCUUCACAGGGCAGGGUGCUGGGUAACGCCCAGUGGGGGAAACCCCAAGGAAAGUGCCACAGAGAAGAGACCGCCGGGGCAGGACUCCGGUAAGGGUGAAACGGUGGGGUAAGAGCCCACCAGCAGGCUGGUGACAGUCUGGCUCGGUAAACCCCACCCGAAGCAAGACCAAAUAGGGGGACGCUCGAGGGUGGCCCGCCCGAUGUCCCCGGGUCAGGUCGCUCGAGGUG
rnacentral:RNase_P_RNA from 1 species